rnacentral:rRNA from 1 species
UACGUAGGGGGCAAGCGUUGUCCGGAAUCAUUGGGCGUAAAGAGCGUGUAGGCGGCUCGAUAAGUCCGCUGUGAAAGUCCAGGGCUCAACCCUGGAAGGCCGGUGGAAACUGUCGGGCUAGAGUCCGGAAGAGGCGAGUGGAAUUCCCGGUGUAGCGGUGAAAUGCGCAGAUAUCGGGAGGAACACCAAUGGCGAAGGCGGGUCUCUGGGCCGAUACUGACGCUGAGGAGCGAAAGCGUGGGGAGCGAACAGG